rnacentral:rRNA from 1 species
GACGAACGCUGGCGGCGUGCUUAACACAUGCAAGUCGAGCGGUAAGGCCCUUUCGGGGGUACACGAGCGGCGAGCGGGUGAGUAACACGUGGGUGACCUGCCCUUAGCUCUGGGAUAAGCCUGGGAAACGUGGGUCUAAUACCGGAUAUGACUCCAUGACGCAUGUUGUGGGGUGGAAAGCCUUGUGCGGCUAGGGAUGGGCCCGCGGCCUAUCAGCUUGUUGGUGGGGUGANGGCCUACCAAGGCGACGACGGGUAGCCGGCCUGAGAGGGCGACCGGCCACACUGGGACUGAGACACGGCCCAGACUCCUACGGGAGGCAGCAGUGGGGAAUCCUGCGCAAUGGGCGAAAGCCUGACGCAGCGACGCCGCGGU